UACGGAGGGAGCUAGCGUUGUUCGGAAUUACUGGGCGUAAAGGGCGCGUAGGCGGCCAUUCAAGUCGGAGGUGAAAGCCCAGGGCUCAACCCUGGAAUUGCCUUCGAUACUGUUUGGCUAGAGACCGGAAGAGGUAAGUGGAACUGCGAGUGUAGAGGUGAAAUUCGUAGAUAUUCGCAAGAACACCAGUGGCGAAGGCGGCUUACUGGUCCGGUUCUGACGCUGAGGCGCGAAGGCCAGGGGAGCAAACGGG
rnacentral:rRNA from 1 species